rnacentral:rRNA from 1 species
CUGGCUCAGGACGAACGCUGGCGGCGUGCCUAAUACAUGCAAGUCGAGCGAACCACUUCGGUGGUUAGCGGCGGACGGGUGAGUAACACGUGGGCAACCUGCCUGUAAGACUGGGAUAACUUCGGGAAACCGGAGCUAAUACCGGAUAAUCCUUUUCCUCUCAUGAGGAAAAGCUGAAAGNCGGUUUCGGCUGUCACUUACAGAUGGGCCCGCGGCGCAUUAGCUAGUUGGUGAGGUAACGGCUCACCAAGGCGACGAUGCGUAGCCGACCUGAGAGGGUGAUCGGCCACACUGGGACUGAGACACGGCCCAGACUCCUACGGGAGGCAGCAGUAGGGAAUCUUCCACAAUGGACGAAAGUCUGAUGGAGCAACGCCGCGUGAGCGAUGAAGGCCUUCGGGUCGUAAAGCUCUGUUGUUAGGGAAGAACAAG